rnacentral:rRNA from 1 species
GGAAUGCUUAACACAUGCAAGUCUACUCGAAAGUCUCUUCGGAGGCGAUUAGGGUGGCGGACGGGUGAGUAACGCGUGAAGAACCUACCCUUUAGAUCGGGACAACAGUUGGAAACGACUGCUAAAACCGGAUAUGAGUUCGAAAGGCAUCUUUUGAACUGUAAACACUAUAUGUGCUAAAGGAGGGCUUCGCGUCCUAUUAGCUAGUUGGUGAGGUAAUGGCCCACCAAGGCGACGAUAGGUAGCCGGCCUGAGAGGGUGAUCGGCCACAAGGGAACUGAGACACGGUCCUUACUCCUACGGGAGGCAGCAGUGGGGAAUAUUGGACAAUGGGGGAAACCCUGAUCCAGCAAUUCCGCGUGUAUGAAGAAGGCUUUCGGGUUGUAAAGUACUUUCAGCAGGGAAGAAGGAAGUGACGGUACCUGCAGAAGAAGCAACGGCUAAUUACGUGCCAGCAGCCGCGGUAAUACGUAAGUUGCAAGCGUUAUCCGGAUUUACUGGGCAUAAAGGGCAUCUAGGCGGUUACACAAGUCAGAAGUGAAAAGUCUGGGCUCAACCGAGGCCUUGCUUUUGAAACUGUGUGACUAGAAUCCGGGAGAGGAGGGCGGAACUACAAGUGUAGUGGUGAAAUGCGUAGAUAUUUGUAGGAAUGCCAAUGACGAAGGUAGCUCUCUGGA